AAACCUAACGGAUCCGGAUGUUCCGGCAUCGAUGAAGAACGCAGCGAAAUGCGAUACGUAAUGUGAAUUGCAAAUUCAGUGAAUUCAGUGAAUCAUCGAAUCUUUGAACGCACAUUGGGCCCCUUGGUAUUCCGAGGGGCAUGCCUGUUCGAGCGUCAU
rnacentral:rRNA from 1 species